AACGUAGGUCACAAGCGUUGUCCGGAAUUACUGGGUGUAAAGGGAGCGCAGGCGGGAAGACAAGUUGGAAGUGAAAUCUAUGGGCUCAACCCAUAAACUGCUUUCAAAACUGUUUUUCUUGAGUAGUGCAGAGGUAGGCGGAAUUCCCGGUGUAGCGGUGGAAUGCGUAGAUAUCGGGAGGAACACCAGCGGCGAAGGCGGCCUACUGGGCACCAACUGACGCUGAGGCUCGAAAGUGUGGGUAGCAAACAGG
rnacentral:rRNA from 1 species